GUGCUCGCUUGGGCAGCACGUAUACUAACAGUGGAAUGAUAGAGAAGAUUAGCAUGGCCCCUGCACAAGAAUGACACGCAAAUUCAUGGAGCAUUCCAUAUAUAU